GACAGAGGUCCCGAGCGUUAGGCGGAAUCACUGGGCUUAAAGCGUGUGUAGGCGGAUUGGUAAGUACCUUGUGAAAUCCCACGGCUCAACCGUGGAACUGCUGGGUAUACUGGCGGUCUUGAGCCACCUAGGGGCGAGCGGAACAAACGGUGGAGCGGUGAAAUGCGUAGAUAUCGUUUGGACGCCAACGGUGAAAACAGCUCGCUGGGGGUGUGCUGGACGCUGGAGGCGCGAAAGCCAGGGGAGCGAACGGG
rnacentral:rRNA from 1 species